UUAGCCAAAGGCACUGGUCAAUUGGGAAAUGGUGAAAUGAAACCCUAAGGUCAGAGGAGGGUGUAGGAUAGGGACACCAAUUCAGGAGCUGUUGGAGCACCGGGAGUGGCCAUGUGAAGAGGCAGGAAUGUGCUGAGGGAUAGCAGGGGAAAACCAAGACCAGGCUGGCCAAAAGGAAGAGAGCAAACUGGGUCAGGCGAGGAGAGCAGGGCAGAGAGGCCAAGAGCUAGGAGGAAGGCAAGGUCGGGGCUAAACUGGGAAGUGUUUGGCUGUGUAGGCUGAGAGGAGUCCACUGAAAACUCAAACAUACCAGAUCCAGAGGUUGACGGAGCCCUAGAAUGGAUGAAGGCCUUGCUGUUGGGUGUAUUGCUUUUAUUGCCACUGGUCCUAUGUUUAGAUUGCACAGAUGCCUUUCCUCGAAGACCUUCAGGACAGUGGCAGUGUCCCUAUCAUAUCAGGUUGCUGGAACCGAAAGCCACAAGCCUCAUAGAGUACAGGAAGAAAGACCCUACUUAAAUGAAGAGAGCCAUACACUGUCAAAAAUCAAGUUGACUGAAUCGUGGACCAAAGAAGAAAUUAGCAGAUGGUGUCCGUGGUGAAGAACUUUCCAUUUCUCAAAACAACACAGACUUGUGCAAAAUGAGAGCAGGAGAUUAUGACGUUCAAGACUAGGUUGGAGCCUCUGGUCUUUUUCAUAAUCAAUAAAUGUUCUAUUGAAAUGAAUUUUCACUUUGCGUUCAGCAACUGUCUUUGAGCAUUUGUGAUGUGAGCAUACAUGUGGGUACAGGUGCACGAGCACAUGGAGACCUCCAGGGGUCAAACUGAGUCAACUUUUCAAGACCCAUCUACCUAGUUUUGUGGAAACCAGGUCUCUCACCGGGACCUCAGGCUGGCCAAUAAAGUUAAGCCGGCUGGCAUCUGCCUAGCCCCUCUCUGGCACAGGCAUUACAACUGUGUGCCACCACGUUCAGCCUUUUACAUCGGUUUCAGGGAUCAAAUUCAGGUCCCUACAUUUGUGUGAGCUAAGGCAGCCUGGGGAAGAGAGAGAAGGGCAUGCUAGCCUGUGCUGGCACAAGUGUCAUCCAUAGAUAUUCUGGCAGCAGUGUGCCUGCGUGUGAGCUUUCUUUCAGGGUCAGCCUUAGUCCCGUGUCCUGGCCUGAAAAACUGUGAAAGAGACUUUGUCAGCACUCAAAAGUUAAAACAGAAGUCUCCCUUCAUUCAUGCUUUUGAUUCUGUGGCUUCAAUUACUUUAGGCCAACCAUAACCUAAAAAUACUAAAGGGGAAAUUCUGGAAAUAGACUCUUUCUGACUUUUAAAUAACUUUUGUUACGAUGUACUAUUAUAAUAGCUAAUUUCGUUUUGACAAAAGGUUCCUCUUAGUUUUUUUCUGUGUCUGACUUAUAAACAAAACUUUAUCACAGGUGUGCAGGUAUAGGGAAACCUAAUUUAUAUAAGGUUAGGUACUGUUUGCAGCCUCAGACAUUCACGAAGGAGGGUCAGGGACUACCUCCUCCAAGAACAGGAGGGCAGUGGUGUUUCUAUUCACCUGUACCUUGGCUCAUAAGGAGAAUCACCAUGCUGUUUCUCAGGGAAACUAGGUCACACGUCUGGAUGGCAGGGUUGCAGGCAAUGGUUUCCUCUCACAGGCCUUGUAUUUUGCUUAUUUUGGUCAGCUCUCGAACUCUCUCCCCUCCGCCCGCCCCCCAUCAUGCUAUGACACGCUGUGCAUUACAACCAAGGCCUUGUGCACACAGGACAAGCACUGCACUGCAACGCUAUGUCACCAGUGACCCCCCCUCGCCACUGACAAAUCUUGGCGGGGAGGGCGAAUUUCCAGAAUCCUCAAAAAGAGCAAUUUUACCUUAUGUCUCAAAGUCUUCAAAAUAUUCAUCCCAUUCCUUUAGAGAAAUCCCGCCAUUGUGUGAGUUAAUCCAAACUAACUUUAAUACCAACCCUCAACUCCUAGUUGUUAGCACCCUGGGGCUGGCAGGUCAUCUGUGUGAGCUAGAAUGGGAAGUCUCUGAGGCUCUGCCAGCCACGGGCUCUGUUGGAACUGUGUGAAAGCAGCCACAGACAGUGCAGGAAUGAAUGAGUGUCCCUGUGCCCCAGACUUCACAUAUGGACACUAAAAUUUCAAUUUUAUACAGUUGUUCUGUACCUCGAAAUGUCAUUCUUUAAACCACUUUGUCAACUGUUAAAAUUUACUGUGAGUGGACAAACAAAAUACCGUAUGAAAACAGACAGCGGAAAGAGCGUCUUUGGACUGCAGCCCACAGUUGGCUGACCCCUGCACUGGAAGUUUCCUUUGUCAUUACCACAGUGGUGAUCCCUGGUGGUUCUUUUCCAGUUGCGGCCCAGAACUCCGCUGUCCUUCUUUGGCCUCUAGGUUCUUCUCCAGACUGGUAGUGAGGUAGGGUCAUUUAUCCCCAUGUUCUACUGGCUAAAAGUCAGAUAACAGCACUUCCAACUACAUGAGGGACAGGGACAUUAAAUCUAAUAGUGUGUUAGGAAGAAAGUGGACAGGCAACUUGCUGACCCAAAAGAAGUGUGUUCACUAAUCCCUUGCCGUGUGAUGGGAUGUGAAUUCCCCACACAGUGAAGGGGUGAGGCUGGUCUGGAGGGAUGCUGUGAUAACAGUCUCUCAUUUAACUUGGUACCUGUUAGGUAUUACAGGCCACACUGAAUUGUUACCUAAUAUCCACAGCAGGCCUAUGAAAUGUGUUGGUCCUUUUUUAGAUAGGGACCCAGGGUGUCCUCAGGAGCUCUUAGUCAAGGCCACACAACUGCCAAGAGUAUGACCAGGAUAGCAGUCCCCACACUCGCUGUAGCCACUAUUUUAGCUGCUUCUGGACACUGUGGUCAAGCCAUAAGUAAUCCAAGCCUAACUCUGUAUACCAAGGUACAGCCCACACCAGCCCUAAGACCUGAGAUGGACUCCUCCAUCUCUCUCCAGUCCUGCCUGUCUCAGAGCUUAGAGCUCUUCCCUGGUUUCUGAGGGCCUGUCCAGACAGCUCCUCCCUUAGCAAGGAAGUGGGCCUGAUUACCCCUUUGCCUCACAACGGAGAUGCCAAGUGCUUGACUCUUGCCUGGUCCACCCACGCUCCCAACCAGGAGGGAGCAGUCCCAACUCCCUGCUGCUGCAGAAUUGGGAAGGCCAGGUGCCUACCCAUCCAAGGGUUUCCUAACAUCUGGAGACAUCAAAGAGGGCAGGAUGUAGGAGAGUGAGUUUGAAUGAUUUUAUUCACAGUACUCAUUUAGAUUCAGAUGCAUGAAGCACAAUAGGCCUGCUGGGAUCUGAAGGAGUUUGGAUGUUGCCUAUGCCUCAGUUUCCACCUAGAAUCAUAAAGAAAAAAAAAUCCAGCUGGAGGGAUCCUGAAGUAUCUGACCACAGAGGACCCAAGACAGAAUUAACUGUUGCAUCUAGUGACCUAGAAAUCCCAGGACCUUCUAGAGGGGCUGUUCUGAAAUUGGUAACACCGGCCUGAAUGCAAGGGGCUCUGCAGUUAGGCUCAUAGCUCAACACUAUACGAGGUCCAAGGACAAGAGCUGGCUUUGAGCUGUCUGAACCAGCCUACUUUUCCGGGGUGUUCCCACCACUUGGCUGCCAAGUCCCCCCACCAAGAAUGGAGGCCUCCCUAAGCAGAAGUUGCCCCUACCUUACUCCUUGGUACUACUCAGUUAACAGAUGGGUUUGAACUGUGACACUGUGGCAUACAUUCUCUGGGGUCAGAGAAACUCUUUCUAGUAGGGUGAGGCACAGGAGGGACUUGUACUCCAGGAAGUCAUUGUCAGCUGAGCCCUGCAGAAGAGCCCCAGUAGGCUGCCCUUCCCAGCUGUGAGCAGGCUGAUGAGUGUCUACAAUAGGUGCUGGGAGUGGAGGGGGCAUCCCAUUGGAUUGCCUCCCACCUAGGUUUCCCCAUCCUAUGGUGCUUUCCAUUCUCACAGAGCAACGCUCUCAUGCACCGAGUCUCUGGGAUAUAGCCAACACUUGUCAUGGGUGUAAUCUGGGCACACACAGUACUGUAAGGGACAUCCAGGCUUUCCUACUACCCAUGGAACAUCCCUGACAUUUGGGGAUGAUUCCCAAAGGACCUAAUUUGUUCUUCCUAUGACUUCAGUAAUGUGACAUUUUAUUAUGCAUUUAUUGGCUUGUUGGCUUUCCUGGGCCUCCUGUCCAGAAAGCCAAUCUAGAAAGACAUAAACGCUGCCACUUCUGUUCAUUCUCAUCCACAGAAUAAUAGCCUCAAAUAUAUCAGAUCCUAAUCCUUGGAAUCUAUAGUUAUCUAUCACCUUAUAACUGUGGUUCUCAACCUGUGGGUCGUGUCCUCUUUCAUAUGGGUCACAUAAGACCAUCAGAAAAAAAAAC
rnacentral:sRNA from 1 species